GAUGUCUUAAUCUUGUCACCCUUGUCAGGAGGCGUCUAGACUCAGGAAACUUUUCAUCAGUUUGGAUCUCUGAUUGGAGCAAUAGCACCAUACAGCUGUGAUUCACUGGCCACGUCUCGUCAGUGGGUGUUUGACUGUAUCAGCUGCCUUCUCUGUAUACAAGGCCAGCCCAUGAACCUGGGGUCAGCGGAAGAGGAGCUGAGAUGUCUCCGUGAAGAACUA